GGAGCUGGAACGCAAACACAGCAUCAGCACUGCGCCUUGUGAACUCAUCGCGGAGUUCUGAAGGGGACAGACGAAAAUGAUCAAGUCCAUCAUGAUACUUGAUGGGUUCUAUAACCUCUAGGUCACCACCAAUCAGCCAAUUUCCAGCAUUAGUUAUAGUUUCUUCAGCAUAAGGCAGGCCGGGAGCAGUUGUUCCCCAAGUACGAGCUAUCCUUUCUUCUUUAGGGUGCUUAUAAAUUUCGAUACUGAAAUAGCCAGAUGAAAAAUAUUAGUCAUAGGAAACAAAUGGAACAAAAAAAAAAUGAAAAUCACACAUAAAAUAUCACUAUGCAUAAAAACGUGUUUAAUAAAAUCACUAUGCAAAUAGUGCACAGAGACAUUCCACAAAAUCAACUAGAAACUGCAAUAGUAGACAAAGUACAAUAUUCAUGACACAUUCUCCUAUUUGCAACAAGAAUUUCAAAGUCAAACAUGAUAUUGUGUAUUCUAAACAUAUGUCUAUACAAACACUAUAUAUUCAAUGUAUGUCUUAUGGCGUAGUGUUCAGUGAGAAUAUUGUCUUCUUGAACUUAUCUUAAAUUUCCCAGUUGAAAUAAGGAAGAUGAAAACAAAAUCUAAUUUAUUUUUAUAUUUGUUUGGUAAAAGACCCUUUGUAUCUAGAGGUUUUGUGGGUGUACUUUUUUCCUAUAGUCUAUUUCACAAUGCUUUAUCACGAGGUAUUGUUUUAGUUCCUUACCAAUCAUCAGAACAACCAGCAUUGGUAAAUAUAACCUGAUAUGACUAAAUACAAAUAAGAUCGAAUUCAUAUGAAUAAAAAUAAAAUAAAAAAGGAGGCAAACAAUGACAAUAGAGGAAACCCAUCUCAAAAUCAUCACGGCAUUAUAUGAAUUGUUGACUAUCAAACCAAUCAUAACAUUCCAACAUAAAAAGAAAAAGAAUUAAAACAAGGACACAAAACAUGUACGGAAAAUGAGCUUAUCCUUAGCAUAUUCCAUCCAAUCUUUGCACAUUUCAAACCUAAAACUCUCCCCAUUUCCCAUCAUACAACUUGAUCACACAUACAAAAACAGCUCACAAUAAUUGACCAAUUAAACUCUAUGACUGGCUCAAGAAGCCAAUCAAACGUCCAUAUUGAAAACAAGUACAAUUUGCAAAAGCAUAUCUCUCUCCUCGAACAAAAACAAAAAUAGAAAAAAUAAUCAUUGGAGACAAUUAAACUUCCCAACCCCUCCCUUCCACUUUCCCUUCCUUUCAAUGAUGAUGCAGUUAAUUUUGAUCCACAUGUUUUUUUUUUUUUUUUUUCCACAGUCAACCAAUAACAAAUAAACUUUUUGCACAACUUGUAAGUUUUAUAUGAUUAAAAAAAUAUAACGAUUUGUGAUUGAUUGAGAGUGUAUCAACUAAAUCCUACAAAUGCUAGAACCUAUGAGCUUCAUCAUAUAUACUAACAAAACAAUAAGAUAAAUUCACAAGAAUGCUACAAGUUAUGAAAUUAACAUACUAAUAAGAGAAAAUCACAAAAACAUUAUAGGUAUACUAUACAUGAACAAGAGAAGAAAAGGGGUAUCUUACUCUUUCAGAAUAGCAACAGGGUUACCCUUUGAAUCAAAAAGAGCAACUUUUGUAGAUUCACCGAUCCGAUGUUUCUGAUCAUCAUCAAUAGCCAAAACAAUAGGAACAGACAUAUUCACAAAAGACCCAUCAUUGAGUCUAAGUGAAUUGAAAUGAAGCGUUUGGAGGAACUCUCUUUCUCUCAUGAAACCACCAAGUGGGGUAGCCCACCCUUCACUCAGCACAUGAACCCAUUCAACGUCAAUCUUUGAAAGCUUUAUCCUUGGCAAUGAUAAAGCUUCGCCCUUUUUCAAAUCUCUCUUUGAUUCUUCCACCACAAGCUCCACCAAUUUUCCACCAUCCGGUUCAAUCAAACCGGAUGAAACUCGAAGCCUCUGAUUGGUUCUGGCUUUUGUGCCAAUUGCUACGUUGACUCUGAUGGGAGGGGCAAAAUGGGUAUCAAACGUUUUGAAGAGAGAGUGAGAAGGGAAAGAGGUUUUGGACAAAAGGGUAGCCAUGGAAGCCAUUGAAGGUUUUGGUGGCUGAAGAAAAAUGAAAUUCGUUUUGGUAUAUAAAACUACAAAAAGGUAUUGUUGCUAGUGGAUGAAGGAGGAUAAAAGGGUAAUUCACAAACGCACAAAAAUGUGAACUUUAUUAUUAAUUGAAUUGAAAAAACUAAAAACAAAAACUUUUGCGUAGUGGUCUUAGACAGAAAGACAGAAACGUAGGUAGAUCAGAGAGAAGAGUUUGUAUGUGUAUAUAUAGUGGAGUUGAUUUGAUAGAGACAUGUUGGGGGGAUGAACCUAGACACUGUUUUUUUUACCCUUUUAAUUUGUUCGGUUACUUACUUAUUUCGUGAUCUCGAUAUAUCUCUCGGGUAGCACUUGGGUGACAUAGAGUUG
rnacentral:lncRNA from 1 species